rnacentral:rRNA from 1 species
CUUUUCUGUUGKACGGGCCAGCAUCAGUUUUGGCCGCCAGAAAAAGGUGGGRGGAAGGUGGCACCUCCGGGUGUGUUAUAGCCUCUCAUCGUAUGUGGCGGCUGGGACUGAGGAACUGCAGCACGCCUUUAUGGCCGGGGUUCGCCCACGUAACGUGCUUAGGAUGCUGGCGUAAUGGCUUUAAGCGACCCGUCUUGAAACACGGACCAAGGAGUCUAACAUGCCUGCGAGUAUUUGGGUGGUAAACCCAUAUGCGGAAUGAAAGUGAACAGUUGGGACUUCUGUCAUGGAAGGCACCGACGCCCGGACCAGACCUACUGUGACGGAUCCGAGGUAGAGCAUGUAUGUUGGGACCCGAAAGAUGGUGAACUAUGCCUGAGUAGGGUGAAGCCAGAGGAAACUCUGGUGGAGGCUCGUAGCGAUUCUGACGUGCAAAUCGAUCGUCGAACUUGGGUAUAGGGGCGAAAGACUAAUCGAAC